rnacentral:rRNA from 1 species
UACGAAGGGUGCAAACGUUGCUCGGAAUUAUUGGGCGUAAAGCGCACGUAGGCGGCUUUGCAAGUCGGAUGUGAAAGCCCUCGGCUCAACCAAGGAAGUGCAUCCGAAACUGCAGAGCUUGAGUACUUAAGAGGAUCGCGGAAUUCCCGGUGUAGAGGUGAAAUUCGUAGAUAUCGGGAGGAACACCAGUGGCGAAGGCGGCGAUCUGGGAAGAUACUGACGCUGAGGAGCGAAAGCGUGGGGAGCAAACAGG